UGGGGAAUAUUGGACAAUGGGCGAAAGCCUGAUCCAGCCAUGCCGCGUGUGUGAAGAAGGUCUUCGGAUUGUAAAGCACUUUAAGUUGGGAGGAAGGGCAGUAAGCGAAUACCUUGCUGUUUUGACGUUACCGACAGAAUAAGCACCGGCUAACUCUGUGCCAGCAGCCGCGGUAAUACAGAGGGUGCAAGCGUUAAUCGGAAUUACUGGGCGUAAAGCGCGCGUAGGUGGUUCGUUAAGUUGAAUGUGAAAGCCCCGGGCUCAACCUGGGAACUGCAUCCAAAACUGGCGAGCUAGAGUAGGGCAGAGGGUGGUGGGAUUUCCUGUGUAGCGGUAAAAUGCGUAGAUAUAGGAAGGAACACCAGUGGCGAAGGAGACCACCUGGGCUCAUACUGACACUGAGGUGCGAAAGCGUGGGGAGCAAACAGG
rnacentral:rRNA from 1 species